rnacentral:rRNA from 1 species
UACGGAGGGUGCAAGCGUUUGUCCGGAUUUAUUGGGUUUUAAAGGGUGCGUAGGCGGUCUUUUUAAGUCAGCGGUGAAAGCCUCCAGCUUAACUGGAGAAUUGCCAUUGAUACUGGAAGACUUGAGUACAGACGAGGUAGGCGGAAUUUAUGGUGUAGCGGUGAAAUGCAUAGAUACCAUAAAGAACUCCUAUUGCGAAGGCAGCUUACUAGGCUGUAACUGACGCUGAGGCACGAAAGCGUGGGGAUCAAACAGG